rnacentral:tRNA from 1 species
GGUGAGGUGGCCGAGAGGCUGAAGGCGCUCCCCUGCUAAGGGAGUAUGUGGUUUAUCCCGCAUCGAGGGUUCGAAUCCCUCCCUCACCGCCA